ensembl:lincRNA
UAAUUUUAUCACAUAGACACUCCUCCACGUACUUCUAAGGUUUACCAACUUAAAAAUUAAGCCCCUGUGAGCUGUGACUGCAAGUCAGCACCUAAAUUAGAUCAACACUACAACAUCAAAAAGGAUAUAUAUGUGCAUACGGUUCUACAUAGAAAUCCUGAUUCUGUGGCCCAGCAUUCCUGCAUGAUGCCAGUAGAUAGUAGCUGAACAGGUACAAAGAUGAGCAUCAGUUGUUAUCUUUAAAAUAAUUAUGUUGGUG